AUUUGGCUUCGCUGGGGUUCUCUGCCCCCCGAAGCAGCGAGGCAAGGGGCAGCCCCCCUCCAGCACGACGUGUGCCUGUACCCAGCUGCAGGGCAGGGCAGGAGCCCUGCAGGGGGUGAAAAAUAGUGGGAUCCACGUGUGAGCAUGCGUGUUCAGCCAGGCAGGUGGCAGAGAGCAGCAUGGGGCUGUGGGAUAGGAAUGGGGGCGAUGCUCCUGGCACCCCAACAUGCCCACCCCGCCAUCCACAGGGACUGCAUCUGCCCUGCCACCCACCCCUGCUGCAGGAAGAAAUGCUCCCACCCAGCGAUCUGGGCUGGGUUGUGCCCAAAUGGCAAGGCAACAACAGGACCCGCCAGGCACCCCCCUGCCCCCAGACAGGGCUCACAGGUCGUGCUGCAGGCACCCACCCCCAGCACAGAAAUCCCCCCACAGCCCUCCAGGACCCCCAGGAGGGGGGAGAGGAAAUCAGAAGAGGAGCGUUUCAACUCACAAGAAAGGGGAACCUGAAGAGUGAAUCUGGGUCAUGCCAAAGCCUCUGUUCAACAGGAAAUGAAGUGCUUUACAAACCUUUCUCCUUCUCCCUUUCUCUUCCCUUUUAUUGCUUCUUUUGGGGUCUUUUGCAGUGAAAGGUUUCAUUUAGAAAACGUAAAAUGAAAAUGUUUUAAUUGUCCUUUUUUCCUCCUGUUUUACACUGAAUGCAGCUCUCACACCCAGCUUUGGUCUGACCAAAAUGGCCUUUUGGGCUCGUUUUCUGCCCAUCAGCAACAACAACAACAAAAUGCGCUGUUAUGGCUGGAAUUCACUCAGAAUUUACUCCAAACCCUUCCUGGUACCCACAAGAGCGGGCACUGAGCGUGAAGGGUUGGCAUUACAGGAAGCCCCAUGCUGGUGGGUGAAAAUCUCCACCCCAGCGAGCCCAUGAGGACACUGGGGUGCAGCAAGCCAAGCAAAUCUCGAGGUUCCUGAUGCCCUGGGAGGGCGACUGGCUUUAGACUGACCAUGGAGGAGGUUGGCUUGAAGAGAAGAUGUGUGCAGCUUUGAGGGGGGUGCAGCUGCAUAUGCAGUCAGGAAGGGAUGCGACAGCAGGACUGGCAGCUCUGGAUGGGGAGGCAGCGAGCAGCAGAGCACCCACACUUACCCUGUACAAGGAGAUUCAAGGCAAGGAGGCCCUGGGGCUGCUCAGUCACUGCUAGAGGGAAUAUUUGGCACCAGGGACAUUUUGAUGCCCAUGAGGCUCAGGAUGAGCCUGGUCCAUGCUGAGUCCCAACUCCUUUCCCCCUUUGCCUGUGUGGUGAUCCUGCAGGACAUGGGUACGGUGCUGAGGUCCCCAGCCACAGGUGGCAGCUGUGGGGGGCAACAGCAGUGCCAAGUGCGCCCCAGCAAGGGGCAGCUGCCCCAGGAGCAUGACACAGUUUGCGGCUGUGCUCCUGCACUGCCCCUGCCAGGUAAUUAGAGCAGGCAGGGUGUGUGCAGAGUGGCUGUAAUUGCCCACACACCUAAGGUGUGGUGGAAGUCAGGAGGUGAAGCAAAACCUUCCGCCUGACCUAGAUGCAGGGGGGCUGCCCGGCAGCAGUGGGGCGAGGAGGCGGUGAGGAGGAAGCGAGUGAUGAAAGCUUGUGCGGGCAG
rnacentral:lncRNA from 1 species